UACGUAGGGGGCAAGCGUUGUCCGGAUUUAUUGGGCGUAAAGAGCGUGUAGGCGGCUAGGUAGGUCCGUUGUGAAAACUCAAGGCUCAACCUCGAGACGCCGAUGGAAACCAUCUAGCUAGAGUCCGGAAGAGGAGAGUGGAAUUCCUGGUGUAGCGGUGAAAUGCGCAGAUAUCAGGAAGAACACCCGUGGCUAAGGCGGCUCUCUAGUACGGUACUGACGCUGAGACGCGAAAGCGUGGGGAGCGAACAGG
rnacentral:rRNA from 1 species